rnacentral:misc_RNA from 1 species
UGGUUAUAAGAGACAGGUGAAUCAUCGAAUCUUUGAACGCACAUUGCGCCCGCCAGUAUUCUGGCGGGCAUGCCUGUUCGAGCGUCAUUUCAACCCUCAAGCCCAGCUUGGUGUUGGGAGCUGCAGUCCUGCUGCACUCCCCAAAUACAUUGGCGGUCACGUCGAGCUUCCAUAGCGUAGUAAUUUACAUAUCGUUACUGGUAAUCGUCGCGGCCACGCCGUUAAACCCCAACUUCUGAAUGUUGACCUCGGAUCAGGUAGGAAUACCCGCUGAACUUAAGCAUAUCAAUAAGCGGAGGA